CGCAUGGACCCAUUGCUUGACACAUGGCGAUAUUGUUUGUUGUUUGAAUUUGAAUUCAAACAUUAAGCAAUAUAUUAAAUAAUUUCAUACAUCAAAUAACUUUCCUAGCUGGCGUGUGAACCUCUGAAUCAUUUAAAUUCGAAUUUCAAAUGAAAUAUAUGCGACAAGAGGUAGAAAAAUUCUGCUGCAUGGAUUUCAAAUUCCUCCCCUCUUGCACAUGUGUUUAAAAUUUGAAUUUAAAUCAGAUUUAGUUGAGAUCUGAUUUGGGUUGUUCCUAUUCCU
rnacentral:lncRNA from 1 species